CGAGGCACGCACAAGGUAGUAUAUGCAAUGUAGACGUAUUUAGCUUGAUUACUGAAGUACAUAUGGCCAAUUUCGAGAAACCCAGCUUAUCUUGCGACUCACUUUAAUACUUCAGUGAGAGAGUUGAACCAAAUGAUUGAGCAGAACAUCACAACUGACUGUAUUACAGAAACGUUCAAGGUGAGAGUAAACUGAGGCAGGCUCCAACUCCAGAAGCUAAGAACCAGAAUGACGCCCUUUCGAUCCAUCAGUUGAG